rnacentral:rRNA from 1 species
UACGUAGGGGGCUAGCGUUGUCCGGAAUCAUUGGGCGUAAAGCGCGCGUAGGUGGCCUCAUAAGUCCGCUGUGAAAGUCCAAGGCUCAACCUUGGAAAGCCGGUGGAUACUGUGAGGCUAGAGUACGGAAGAGGCGAGUGGAAUUCCUGGUGUAGCGGUGGAAUGCGCAGAUAUCAGGAGGAACACCAAUAGCGAAGGCAGCUCGCUGGGACGUUACUGACACUGAGGCGCGAAAGCGUGGGGAGCGAACAGG